UACGUAGGGUGCAAGCGUUGUCCGGAAUUACUGGGCGUAAAGGGCGCGUAGGCGGCCUGUUAAGUCGGAGGUGAAAUCCCUCGGCUCAACUGAGGAACUGCCUCCGAUACUGGCCGGCUUGAGUCCCGGAGAGGGUAGUGGAAUUCCGAGUGUAGCGGUGAAAUGCGUAGAGACUCGGAAGAACACCAGUGGCGAAGGCGGCUACCUGGACGGGUACUGACGCUGCAGCGCGAAAGCUAGGGGAGCAAACAGG
rnacentral:rRNA from 1 species